CAGCAGCCGCGGGAAUACGUAGGGUGCAAGCGUUAAUCGGAAUUACUGGGCGUAAAGCGUGCGCAGGCGGUUAUAUAAGACAGAUGUGAAAUCCCCGGGCUCAACCUGGGAACUGCAUUUGUGACUGUAUAGCUAGAGUACGGCAGAGGGGGAUGGAAUUCCGCGUGUAGCAGUGAAAUGCGUAGAUAUGCGGAGGAACACCGAUGGCGAAGGCAAUCCCCUGGGCCUGUACUGACGCUCAUGCACGAAAGCGUGGGGAGCAAACAGGAUUAGAUACCCGGGUAGUCCCUGUCUCUUAUAU
rnacentral:rRNA from 1 species